CUUAAGGAAGUUCGGCCCUUCGCUAACGAGUGAUGCACCGUGCACUUCCGAGAUCGUUGUCGAUCCCGAAGAAAAAUACGCGGAGAACGCACAAAAAAGGAGGACGUUUUGGUUAAUAAACGAAAGAAAAGGGAAAGGAGCUGAACGAAGAAAACGAGAAGCGGCCAAAAAAAAAAAAAAAGAAAGAAAAAUAGAAAAAGGACUGGGAAAAUUAUCCACCUGAAGAAUGUACGUUAACGCUUAGAAAGGAGAAGCCCCUAAGUCCCUAAGUUGAAAAUUUCAUCGUGGAUGCUCUAACUAGAUCGGACUUAUAGCCUUCUCUUCCAAAUAGGCCACCAAAGCGUUCUCCAAAGAAUCUUUGAGCACUCGAACUUGGUAAGGGUGGAAUAGUAAUCGUGAUUAGGAUCAAAACAAUUGGUUUUUUCGGAGUAAAGGUAGUAGUGUAGCCUGAAAAGUAAAACCCUCUGACACGAGUGCUUCGAGAUUUAAAGUCGUUGAAUGGAGCUCCAAUUCAUCAUGGACGGCGGUGCAGAUGCUUUGAAUGGAACGAUAUGGUUUCCCAAUACACCGUCACCUCCGUACGAACAGCUGUCCCCAGUUCGUCAGAACAGAUGUGACCCUAUCGCCACUCAGCACGCGUCAAUGGGAUAUCACAGUGCGCAAAAUUCUUUAUGGCAGGAUAAAUACGACUCACCAAAGGAUUCCCCAGAGGACGGUGGCCAAAUACGUUCGAGCAGCGAAUCGCCCCAACAUCUUAGCCCGUCUUCCGACAAUUCCCCCAAUUGCCAGCAGAGCACCCUGAAACGUCGAGCCGGAGAGCCGUUGUCGCAAAUUACAGAACUCGAGAAGAAGCAUGCUAAGAGAGAUGGAUCUGUCGGGAGCAAUGGUUCUGGACAAGGAUGGUCAACCCAAGUGGAGGAGCUGGCCGAACAUCUUGCCGCCGACUUCGAUGGAUCGCUCUCAGCUCUUGCAGCAUCCGAUCUUGCAACAGCAGUCGCUUCCUAUAAUAUGAGCGAAGCCUUGCUUGCAUUACCAUCAUUGACGGUAUUUAAACAAGAGGCGCCAUCGCCAGAAAAUCAGCAAAAUUCCAAUUUAAACCACGUAUCACAGAGAACAAUUAAUAAUUCGGCACCAGCGAACAAUGUGAACAACUCUGUUGAAGCUGAUAGUAAUAAUAAUGGACAGACAGCAACUAGUCUUCAUCAGUUGCUUUAUCCCUCAAACGAAGAAUAUCCUCCAACAUCAUCCUCAGGAAAUCAUGUGUCUUCCUCUCAACAGGGAAGCGAGCUCAACGAGGAUUGCCGUUUUCAAUAUGUGCUUGCCGCUGCUACUAGUAUUGCAACGAAAGUUAACGAAGAAACGCUCACUUACUUGAACCAGGGACAAUCGUACGAGAUUAAAUUGAAGAAAUUAGGUGAUUUAUCUGCUUAUCGUGGGAAAAUUUUAAAGGGACAUCCAACGUUUUUGUUUCAGUCGACAAUACGCAUUUGCUUCCACGAGAGGAGACUUCAGUAUACUGAAAGGGAACAGAUGCUCGCAUGGCAACGCGCAAGACCUGGUGAAAGAUUACUCGAGGUCGAUGUUCCUCUUAGUUAUGGAAUGGUAGAUGUUUGUCAACCAUCUCCAUCAAAUAAUAGUGUAGAAUUUAUGUGGGAUCCUACCAAGGAAGUUGGCGUAUAUAUAAAGGUGAACUGUAUUAGCACUGAAUUUACGCCCAAGAAACAUGGUGGGGAAAAAGGCGUGCCCUUUCGAAUACAAGUGGAAACGCGAUUGCCGGGAGGCCCUCGUUUGCACGCUGCUUCUUGCCAGGUAAAAGUUUUCAAGUUGAAAGGAGCUGAUCGCAAACAUAAGCAAGAUCGUGACAAAAUACUGCGACGACCACCACAUGAGCAAGACAAGUAUCAGCCAAGUUACGACUGCACGGUUCUCUCCGACAUUCCCCUAGACUCGUUAUCACCAUCUAAUUUGAUCACACAAAGUGGUGGAAGUCCCUAUGCUUCAACAGAGGCAAUAUCUCCUCAAAGUCGCUCUACUAUAAGUGGCAAUACUUCACCAGUAGUAGCACCCUUGGCACUUUCAGUUUCCAAUCCAGGUAUCGUACCACUAGUUCCUGCUUCUGAUGCUGUGAAGGAAAACGUGGGAACAGCACCUGCUCUACCAUCGCCUGCGGCAAUUUUACCAGACCAAUCUUGUAUCGAAACUGAAAGAUCGUCAUGUUUGGUUCAAUUGUCACCUGAUGCAAGUGCGGCACAGACAACGACAUGGCUUCGUGCUAGUCGCUUCAACGCAUUUGAAUCUACAUUCGCAAGCUUCUCUGCUUCGGAUAUUUUACGACUCUCUAGGGAUGAUUUAAUUCAAAUCUGUGGCCUGGCCGAUGGGAUCCGAUUGUUCAACGCGCUGCAUUCAAAGGCGCCAACCCCAAAACUUACCCUUUAUUUCUCGCUGGAAGACAACAGUUCACUUUGGAGAGUCGCCUACUUGGACAGUCUGACCAGGUAUCCAUGUGUUAGUUACCGAUGAAUUGGUAGCAAACAUGAAAGACGAAAGCAUGUAUUUCGUUGAAACUAUCAAAGAUAAUACGAGCGAACGCUACAAAUUGCUUCUAAAGCCUUCGUCGCGUUCUUAAAAGAUACAAUUACUGAUAAAUUAAUUGCAAAAUUAUGUAGUAGAUCUUCCAUAUAUCCCAAAUUUGCCAAACGAAUCUGUGAUUCGAUAAAGAAUUUAUUACGUAGUAAGAUGAAAAUAACUUAUUGCGUAAUUAAAAAUUUGUCGAUUUUUUUUUCGUUUUAAAUUACGACAAUAUUAUCAGAAAAUAUUUCUGAAUUAUUUAUUCAUAAUAGUUAGUAAACUAUUUAGUUUUUAAUUAAUUUGAGAUAAUUAUUUUAUACAAUCAGGUAAAAAAGAAUAUCGAAGAAAGAUAGGCCUUAUUAAUAAAAAGACGAGGAAAUCUACCCAUAUUUUAUAUGCAAUACUCAUUAAAAGAUUCCAGUAUAGUUA
rnacentral:misc_RNA from 1 species